rnacentral:rRNA from 1 species
AGCGAGCCGCGGUAAAUUCCUAGCUCCAAUAGCGUAUAUUAAAGUUGUUGCAGUUAAAAAAGCUCGGUAGUUGAACUUCGGGGUUUACCCAUUGGUCAGGCUUAAUUGUCUGUACUGGUGAGAUAAAUCUCUACCUUCUGAGGAACUUUCAUGUCAUUAAUUUGGUGUGAUUGGAAAUCAGGACUGUUACUUUGAAAAAAUUAGAGUGUUUAAAGCAGGCUAACGUCUGAAUACAUUAAGCAUGGAAUAAUGAAAUAGGACGGAUUGAUUCUAUUUCGUUGGUUUCUAGGAUCACCGUAAUGAUUAAUAGGGAUAGUUGGGGGCAUUAGUAUUCAAUUGUCAGAGGUGAAAUUCUUGGAUUUAUUGAAGACUAACUACUGCGAAAGCAUUUGCCAAGGAUGUUUU